CCACCACAGACGCGAUGUGUCUCGUCCUGUCUGGUUUUGCCUCGCCUCGUUCCCUUUCAAGGAAAUUCUAGUAUCAGUUUUCUCAAUUAUAUCCUCGAGCCUGUUUAUAGUUUUUGGUUUUCCUCCUAAUGGAGCGAUUUUGAGUUUUUGAUCAUGUUUGAAUAAAGACUGCCUAUUCUGUUCAUCCUUCUGCUCCGGAGUCCUCGCUUAAAUCAAUCAAUUUUGUUGCAAUCCAGGAGUAAAGAGAACAUGGGAGCAAGUCAAAACACAAAAAUAUUAUCCAGAAUGGAGGCCGGUCCAGACGACAAGGAGACAGUGUCAGCGAAGCAGUGUCACCUAGAAAAAUGGCUCGACCCACGCAAGGAGGCAAAUCCUGCUGGACCACAGCCUGAUCCCAGGAGCCUGGCCCCUCUCACUCGGCUGAAACUGGGAAUCAUGACGACGAGGAUUUGCGGGCGCUGUAUAAGCAGUACCUGCGUACGGAAAUGUACUACCGGCAGCUAAAAAUGAAGAAGCUCCAUAAAGAGAUCGCAUUACUUGAUCGGCAGCUGGAUGCGGCCCAAUGAAACCCGAAUAAAAGCUUCAUUCUGCAAC
ensembl:lncRNA